rnacentral:tRNA from 2 species
GCUCCUAUCGUCUAGAGGCCUAGGACGGAGCCCUCUCAAGGCUUAAACCCCGGUUCGAAUCCGGGUAGGAGCGCCA